rnacentral:rRNA from 1 species
CAUUUGACGUUAGCUGCAGAAGAAGCACCGGCUAACUCCGUGCCAGCAGCCGCGGUAAUACGGGAGGGUGCGAGACGUUAAUACGGAAUUACGUGGGACGUAAAGCGCAUGCAGGUGGUUUAGUUAAGUCAGAUGUAGAAACGGCCCGGGGCUACAACCGUACGGUAAUUGCUAUUUAGAAACGUGGACAAACUAGAGUACUGUAGAGGGGGUAGAAUUUCAGGUGUAGCGGUGAAAUGCGUAGAGAUCUGAAGGAAUACCGGUGGCGAAGGCGGCCCCCUGGACAGAUACUGACACUCAGAUGCGAAAGCGUGGGGAGCAAACAGGAUUAGAUACCCUGGUAG